rnacentral:rRNA from 1 species
AUCUUCGGCAAUGGGCGAAAGCCUGACCGAGCGACGCCGCGUGAGCGAUGAAGGCCAUUAGGUUGUAAAGCUCUGUCGAGGGGGAACAAGCCGCAAGGUUGAGUGAUCCCUGGAGGAAGCACGGGCUAAGUUCGUGCCAGCAGCCGCGGUAAGACGAACCGUGCGAACGUUGUUCGGAAUCAUUGGGCUUAAAGGGCGCGUAGGCGGGUGUUCAAGUCCGGGGUGAAAGCCUCCAGCUCAACUGGAGAAGAGCCCCGGAUACUGUUCACCUGGAGAGAGAUAGGGGCACAUGGAACUUCCGGUGGAGCGGUGAAAUGCGUAGAGAUCGGAAGGAACGCCGGUGGCGAAAGCGAUGUGCUGGAUCUUUUCUGACGCUGAGGCGCGAAAGCUAGGGGAGCAAACGGGAUUAGAUACCCCGGUAGUCCUGGCCCUAAACGAUGGGUACUGGGUUGCGGGUCAGACAUAGACUCGCAGCCGAAGCAAAAGUGUUAAGUACCCCGCCUGGGGAGUAUGGUCGCAAGGCUGAAACUCAAAGGAA